rnacentral:lncRNA from 1 species
CCUAUAUGUAAAAUAUAUGUUAUAUGUAUGGUUUUUGAGAUCUUACAGAGGAGAAAAAAAUAUAUACUUAUAUAUAGAGGCCACAAACCAAAUUCAUACCAGGGCUUGGGAUUUCUCUUGGUAUCACUGGCCAUAGAGAGUUUAUUGAGUGGUUUGCAAAAAUCAGGCAACUGGAAUUCUAGCUCAGAGAUUAAAAAAAGGAAGAUAAAUUUCUUAUGUUUAGCUUUAACUUUUAAAAAUUAUUAUUUUUUCACCAUUUGAGUAUGUUAUGUGGGGUGAAAUAUAUCUUCCACAUUGAUUGAAAAAAUUAUAUUCGAAAGGAGUAUUCAUUGAC